UUACAGGUGGAUGGAGGAUGGAUUGAAGAGAGGAGAGAUUUGCAGCAGGAAGACCAGUGAAAAUGCUAUUAUUAGUGAUGCGGACGAGGAUGACAAGGCUCAAAUAAUAAAGAAAUCAAGAAAAAGUAUGUGAACAGGCACAGGAGCACAUAGGAGAGAAGCAGUCAUAAUCCAGACAUUUGUAAAAAAUGACUAAAGCGUUUGAAGAAUGUUGGAAGCAUUUUAAGAUAAAGGCAAUCAGUCACUUCAUCGCCAGAGAUGCUCCUAGAGAGGAGGAGGAAAACAUUCCAAGCCUGGAGUCAGGAGAUGGAGUGUCUUGUGUGAGGAGCAGCAAAUAGGCAAUG